ACUCAAAUGAAUAGACGGGGGCCCGCACAAGCGGCGGAGCGCGUUGCUUAAUUCGAUGCAAAGCGAAGAACCUUACCCAGGCUUGACAUUCUGGAAGUAGGCGCCCGAAAAGGUUGCCCAUCCGUAAAGUCGGAAACCAGGACAGGUGUUGCAUGGCUGUCGUCAGCUCGUGCCGUGAGGUGUUGGGUUAAGUCCCGCAACGAGCGCAACCCUCGCCCUAUGUUGCUACCGGGUUAUGCCGGGCACUCAUAGGGGACUGCCGGGGAAACCCCGGAGGAAGGAGAGGAUGACGUCAAGUCCGCAUGGCCCUUAAGUCUGGGGCUGCAAACGCGCUACAAUGCGCGGUACAGCGGGUUGCGAUACCGCAAGGUGGAGCCAAUCCCGAAAAGCCGCGCCCAGUUCGGAUCGGGGUCUGCAACCCGACCCCGUGAAGUUGGAGUCGCUAGUAAUGGCAGAUCAGCAUGCUGCCGUGAAUGCGUUCUCGGGCCUUGUACACACCGCCCGU
rnacentral:rRNA from 1 species